UACGCCGCUCCUGUCGACAUUAGUAAUAGGGUUAUACGUCCACGCCGCCGCCGUCACCGCGGAUCCCCAGUGACGCUGCCGACGCCGUUGCCUGUCCCCAGGCCACUGCCACUUCCGCCAAUCCCCAGGACGCCGCCGCCGCCGAUCCCCAUGACACCGAUGCUGACGCGGAUCCGUACACGCUGCCGCCGUUGCAGAUCCCCACACGCCGAUGCCGUCCAAUAGCAUCGCCCGCUGGACCUAACCACGGAGCUGGAGGAGCGCGCUGGAUGAGGUACGGGAUCGCAGCCGCCGAGCCGAGGUCGUGCUUGUGUGGAGUCGCCGCACUCCGCACGCCGCUACCGCCGCAGAUCCCUGGGGCCGCCACGGCCGCUAAUCCCCGCGGACGAAGCCAUUCCACGAACGGCCGCUGCAGGCACCACAACAGCAGCUCGUUACCGAAAUAUCAGGGGCGUAGAUGAUGUACAGGAUCAUCUCGUCCAUGCCAUGGAACAAAGCCACCUGCUUGACGAGCUCCAAAUAGAGGAACGGAGGGAGUAUUUGAAACUCAUUUCUUCAUGCGAACACCAGGGUUUGUUCAGUGGCAACAUGUGGUGAGAUAGACAACAACACAGCUUGGCAUUGGGCAAAGGAGAAUAAUGCACAUGUGAUAUUAUCUACAUCGAUUCCCUUAUUACCAUGGUUGUAUUCUGCUAACUUGCCAUCUACUUACUAGAAUUGGUCACAAAUGAUAGUGCGGUUUGAAGGUAAAAUAUUUGUGUUUUUCAUUCUUUCAUUGAAUAGUCAGAUCGAUCCUUAAUAAAGCAUGUUGCAUCUAAUGUCACCAUUAUAGAGAUUUGAUCUAUUCACUUUCUCGUGCUUACACAUUAAUAUUAGAGCCUGUUGCUAGUAAGGCAAGGUAUUAUUGCACAUUGAUUAUUGAUUAUUUUCUGUUUCAAAUUCUAGACCACAACCUUUAUCUCUACCGUGAGCAAGGAGUCUGAUACCAACUGCUAAUUAAGUUUUGUCUUUUUUUUUCACUCAGUUGCAUUCAGUGUGUAAUACAUUUACAUUGGUUUCAAAUAGUACAACUGCGGACAUAUCCACCUAUGCAGAACACCCAACUAUUUCAUCCGGUGAACUGCGUAGAUCUUCUAUGUGCAUCUCCGUCAUGUUUAACUACAACAUGCUUAUGUGAUCUUAUCAUGAAGUCAUUUUUCAGUUUGUGUGCAACGUGACUACAUGUAAAUUUGUAAUACACCAACUUUUUUCUUCCUUUUUGUUUUUCGAUUGACUCAAUUUACCAUCUCAAAUGUCAUUCCCUUUAUAGCUAGCACAUCAUCUCCAAAGAAUUUAUUUAAGUUGAAAUCCAGUAAUUAAAUGUUGAUCGCAUAAGCAGGCUGAUGGUAUAUUGGUUGAAUUUUUUUAUUCCUACUGUAUUGAACUAAAACUGUUCUUUCCUGAAUAUAUUGGAUCGCAAAGAACUAAAUCUAUCUACAAUGUCUUUGGGCAUAUUCUGAAUUUGCAGAGUUAGCACAAACCUGAAAGCGUAUAUGCAGCUCCCAGAUGUUGCAGGCAAAAGGAAGGGCACAUACGUCAUGCGAUACCAUGUAUCUGGUAGUGGUUUCGUCCCUCAGACGCUAUGCAUUCAUUGUCUGGUUUGUAUGUAUUUGUGAUUUUCCAACUAAUAUAGUGUUAGCUCUAUGUUAACCUUCUUUUAGGUACUUCCCAGGAUUUUCUUUGUAGGAAACCCCAAAAAUAUAAAUAGGUGUAUUUUCCCAUGAAGAUGCUAAAUUUUGUUGGUCUUAUUUAUGGGAUAGCAAAACCAUUUUUGUGUGCACUUAAUUGUCAGGUUGGACGCACCGGGUGUUGGGAGUUUUGAGCAGAUUAACACCAAUACUGCUUCUAUAUCCACCUCUACUAUUAUUGCUUCUAUAUUUCCUUAUUGCAUGUCUUUGUUUCCGGUAGGCCACGCCACCCUUUUCUACUAAGUUAUAUACAUCCAAUAUGUUGGUGUUGUGACCUGUAUGUAGACGAAAUAUUUUAGGUUUGUAUGAAUAAUUUGUAUGUGAUUUCAUACAGUAUCUUGUUGACGCUAUGAGCAUCGAUUGUCAUAUAAGAUGAAGGAGCUUCUAGCGCCAGUUCCGAUCAGUGAUUAUAUGAAGGCAACAAUAAAAUAUUUGAAGCAACAGUGGGGCACAAGGUUGGUGCCAGUAAUCUAUAGAGGUCUGAAGGAAAGACGACAUGAUUAUUUGAGUUGGUUGAGAAUCACCCAGGUCAUGGCUACAUCAGUUAAUCUUGGAUUUGCCCUGGUGGCACUUUGAUCGCACCACACCAAAAGGUCUAGAAGAUCAAGAUAUAUGCACACAAAUGAUUAUUUUGCUAAUUAAAUUGGUCAGUGUAAUACUCAUACAACUACCAUCAUAAGACAUUGCCAUCUCAUCUAUGCAGGACAUGGUUGAUUAUCAGGUGAGUGAAUUCUGGCGAGAAUGAACCAAGUAAGUUUUCAUAGUUGGUCUAUUCAAAAUGGAUGAAAGGGACCGGUUACUGUGGAUAUAAGUUUGCACUCUGUCUUCCUGCUCAUUCAACCAAUGUGUUCAUGGGAGACUUAUUUUAGGGAAACAUAAAAACAAUUAUUUUUUCUAUGCGUAGUAUUAAAUAUGCUCUUAAAUUUUAGAAUAUUAUUUUUUCGCCAGAUUUUAAAUGUUAGGCUUCAAUAAAUCUGAAAUUUCUAUAGUUUGAUUUGCUAUGUUUAUUUCACGCUUACCACUAGGAAAUGCUUCAUUUUAAUCAUUUUAUUUGGUGCACACCAUUGUAAGUGUAUUAUUAUAAGAAGUCAAGUCUAUUCUAGAAGAAUAUUCACUCAUGAUAGUUUUAAGUUUUGGUAAAGCAGAAUGUGUAAAUUCAUUUUAAAUUGUCCAACAGAUAAUAGAUUGUUCCGCGUAAAAGAAAAUGAUGCUUACAAAAAAUUAUGCUUGAUUAGGAUUUAACGAUGAGGGACGCUACUUGGGAUGAUGCUUAAUUAGGUAGAUGACACAUUAAUGGUGUGCUAGCCAUUAAUGAUGAUGCUCUUAUUUUACAAGGUUUAUAUAAAGAGGGAGAAUGCUGACAGUUAGAAUUUUAGGCUGAAAAAGAAGUAAAUAUUAGAGACCUAUUCUGCAUAAUUCCAAAAGUUUUAAAACUUCAUGGGAGUAAGUUUUAGAAUAUAUAAAAAAUAUUGGGGAAGAAAGUAUCAGAGAGGGCCACCCACCAUCCACGAGGGUGGGGGUGCGCCCUACAUCCCUGGGCGUGCCCCCGUGCCUCGUGGUCCCCUUGGCAGCCUUUUGACUAUAUGGAGUCUUUUAUCGAGAAAAAAAACCAUAAGCAAGCUCACGGAACGAAACUUCGCCGCCAUAAGGUGAAACCUUGGCAGAAUCAAUCUAAGGCUCCGGCAGAGCUGUUCUGUCGGGAAAACUUUUUUUUGGGAGGGGGAAAUCAUCACCAUCGUCAUCACCAACAA